rnacentral:misc_RNA from 1 species
UAAAAUGCUAUCAACAAGUCGUUUAGCAUUGUCACUACGUAGACUUUUACAAAAUCAAUUUUAUCGUGGUCUAACCUCAGAAGCUCAACCACACAUAGAAUCACCAGUUCAAUCUGACAAAGAAAAAAGUAUUGUCAUAACAAAAUCUGGUCCAAUAACAUUAUUUGGAAUAAAUAGAACAUCAAAAAAAAAUUGUCUUGAUUCAAUAGCAGUUGAAGAAUUAUCAGAUGCUUUAAAUACAUUUGAUGAAAAUGAUGAAACUGGUAUUGGAAUAAUUCAUGGUAUUGGUGGUACAUUUUGUUCAGGAUUUGAUUUAGAUGAAAUUGCUAAAUCAAAUGGUAAUUUUGAUAAUCUUCCACACUUUAGUUCUUUGUUUUCAAAAAGUGUAUUGACAAAAAAACCACUAAUUGCAUCUAUAAGUGGUUAUGCAGUUGGUAUGGGUUUUGAAUUGGCAUUAAUGUGUGACAUAAGAAUUGUUGAAGAAUCAUCAAGAUUAGGAUUUUUAAAUAAACGUUUUGGUAUUCCAAUAAUGUGUGGUGGAACAGUUAGACUACCAGCAAUGGUUGGUUAUUCAAGAGCAAUGGAUCUUAUAUUAAGUGGACGUGAAUUAACAAGUGAAGAUGCUGUUAAUUGGGGAAUUGCAACUCGUGCAGUUGCAUGUGGUGCAGCUUUAGGACAGUGUAUAACAUUAGCUCAUUCAAUUGUUAAAUAUCCACGUGCUGCUUCUGAUGCUGAUCGAGCUUCACUUAAUUAUGCUGUAUUUGGCAGUAAACCCAUUGAAGAUUUAUUAGAAUUUGAAAAAACUAAUGCUACUGAUGGACUUCUUGAUGAAGGUAUCAAAGGGGCACAGAGAUUUGUUGAUGGUUUUGGUAGACAUGGAAAAGCAUCAAAUAUGAAUACAACAAAUGUUAGAAAAUUUAAACAAUUGGAAGAUGAUGUGUUGUGAUAAAAAAUUAAUUUAAAAAGAUAACAAGAAGUGUGACCCGAGCAUCUAGUAAAAAAUGGAACCAAUAAUAAUUACUAAAUUGCUUUGUCAUUGGAGUCAAAAUCAUUUAAAUACCAGUGGGUUCAUUCAACCAGCUAAAAUCAGAAUCUUCUUAUCAACGAAAAAGAUACAAUGAUUUCAUCUUGGGUUAUUUAAACUACAUGCUGAUCAUAAUGGCGGGAAUUUGUACACACGGAUACCAAUCGUUUAUCGAGGUAAUCGGAUGAAAGGAGAUCGGAUAAGGAAAAUACAGUAUCAACAUCCCACGGAAGUAUUGAAACAAGGUCCACGACCUCACAAGAAGCACCAAGUUUCUUCUGGACAAGAUCAGCAACUUCUAGCAAAACAUGUACCUGAC